rnacentral:rRNA from 1 species
UACGUAUGGUGCAAGCGUUAUCCGGAAUGACUGGGUGUAAAGGGAGCGUAGACGGUUGUUCAAGUCUGAUGUGAAAGCCCUCGGCUUAACUGGGGGAGUGCAUUGGAAACUGAAGGACUAGAGUAUCGGAGAGGCAAGUGGAAUUCCUAGUGUAGCGGUGAAAUGCGUAGAUAUUAGGAGGAACACCAGUGGCGAAGGCGGCUUGCUGGACGAAAACUGACGUUGAGGCUCGAAAGCGUGGGGAGCAAACGGG